UACAGAGGGGGCAAGCGUUGUUCGGAAUUACUGGGCGUAAAGGGCGCGUAGGCGGCCUUCUAAGUCGAACGUGAAAUCCCCGGGCUCAACCCGGGAACUGCGUCCGAUACUGGAAGGCUUGAAUCCGGGAGAGGGAUGCGGAAUUCCAGGUGUAGCGGUGAAAUGCGUAGAUAUCUGGAGGAACACCGGUGGCGAAGGCGGCAUCCUGGGACCGGCAUUGACGCUGAGGCGCGAAAGCCAGGGGAGCAAAGCAGG
rnacentral:rRNA from 1 species